UCGAGGAUCUUCGGCAAUGGGCGCAAGCCUGACCGAGCGACGCCGCGUGUGCGAUGAAGGCCUUCGGGUUGUAAAGCACUGUCGAGGGGGAGGAAAGCCGGGUAACCGGCCUGACCUAUCCCUGGAGGAAGCACGGGCUAAGUUCGUGCCAGCAGCCGCGGUAAGACGAACCGUGCGAACGUUGUUCGGAAUCACUGGGCUUAAAGGGCGCGUAGGCGGCCGCUCAAGUCGGGGGUGAAAUCGUUCCGCUUAACGGGACAAGAGCUUUCGAUACUGGGCGGCUGGAGGGAGGUAGGGGUGCGCGGAACUUCCGGUGGAGCGGUGAAAUGCGUAGAUAUCGGAAGGAACGCCGGUGGCGAAAGCGGCGCACUGGACCUUCACUGACGCUGAGGCGCGAAAGCCAGGGGAGCGAACGG
rnacentral:rRNA from 1 species